AACCACAGCCAUAUCACCCUGCAGCUCACUGAAACUAAGCAGGGUUGAGCCUGGUCAGUACCUGGAUGGGAGACCUCCUGGGAAAACUAGGUUGCUGUUGGAA
rnacentral:rRNA from 1 species